UACGUAGGGUGCGAGCGUUAAUCGGAAUUACUGGGCGUAAAGCGUGCGCAGGCGGCUUGCCAAGUCAGAUGUGAAAGCCCCGGGCUCAACCCGGGAACUGCGUUUGAAACUGGCAGGCUAGAGUUUGGCAGAGGGGGGUGGAAUUCCACGUGUAGCAGUGAAAUGCGUAGAUAUCGGGAGGAACACCUGUGGCGAAAGCGGCUCACUGGACCAUAACUGACGCUGAUGCACGAAAGCUGGGGGAGCAAACAGG
rnacentral:rRNA from 1 species